GGUUCCGUGGUGUAGUGGUUAUCACAUUCGCUUCACACGCGAAAGGUCCUCAGUUCGAUCCUGGGAGGAAUCA